rnacentral:rRNA from 1 species
GUAGGUGGCAAGCGUUGUCCGGAAUUAUUGGGCGUAAAGCGCGCGCAGGCGGUUCUUUAAGUCUGAUGUGAAAGCCCACGGCUCAACCGUGGAGGGUCAUUGGAAACUGGAGAACUUGAGUACAGAAGAGGAAAGCGGAAUUCCACGUGUAGCGGUGAAAUGCGUAGAGAUGUGGAGGAACACCAGUGGCGAAGGCGGCUUUCUGGUCUGUAACUGACGCUGAGGCGCGAAAGCGUGGGGAGCAAACAGGAUUAGAUACCCUGGUAGUCCACGCCGUAAACGAUGAGUGCUAAGUGUUAGGGGGUUUCCGCCCCCCCCUAGUGCUGCAGCUAACGCAUUAAGCACUCCGCCCUGGGAGUACGGCCGCAAGGCUG